CUGAUCACACCUGCGAGAGAUCCCAGAGAGGCCAAUAAGAGGGCCUGACAGACCACAGCAAGGAGUUCGACCGAGAGGCUUGAGAGACGGCCAGGCGUAAGUGGUGCCAGGCGGCGGCGGCGGCGCCUGCAAGCCGAAGGGGCUGGUGGAGCUGGUGGAGCUGGGCGUUAGGAGGUGACCAGCGACUGGGGACGCGCCACCACCAGCGACUAGGGACGUGGAGUGAACAGGCGGACGGCAGUAGCAACGAGAGCCCAGCUUGUGCACUGCGGGAGAGCAGAGGCGGCGAGACAGCUGGUGCCGAUUUGCAGUUUUAAAGAAGCGGCGGGCGGAGUUGAGAGCUCUGCCCACCCGGGCGUACCAGGACGCGGAAUGCGGGGAGGAAGGCGAGGAUUCCGCUGGGUUCCCCUUUUACAUCACUUCGCUGGACUUUUUUAGUUCUUUGACUUUUAUAUCGUGGCGGAUCCCACUGGACUUUUAAUGUUGUUUUAUUGAUUUUUAUUGUGUUAUCCCUUGGCCAAGGUUGUUUUAAUUCAUUUUACAUUUUUAACUAUUUAAAUAUAAUAAAUUAUAUUUUUAAUCUUACAGUUUAAAUUGUGUGCUUUCCCUUGGCGGCUCCACUGCUCUGCCCGUUUUGAGGAAGGUUUCCUUCCUUCGCACAAAACCACUGUGGAAGUAAAAUCAGCCUUUCCGCUCCGUUACACAUACACACAGACAAUAAGUAUAAUUUCUAGGGUAAAGGUGAAAGACAUCUUGCUUUGUCUCUGCUUAGCAACUAGUGAUCCGGGGUCCACAGGAAGCAUCUGGAGGGGCCAGACAGCCAUAUAGGGAAAAAUGCUGUUGAACACGGAAACUUGUUGAACUGUCAUUAAUUAUAACCUAUACAUGUGAUGUUUUGUCUAAUGAUGUUUGUUUGUCUGAUGUUUUGUUUAACGCGAGAAGGGGCAUUAACCCUGACAUAAUAAAACAAUGUUGAAAGUAUGUUUUGACGGAAGAUCGGUGUUGGCAAUAUAGAGCUGUGUAUCUUUCCACACAUGUGUUUAAUAAAAUCAUUGUUUUGACGCACUUGGACCAGCAGUCGUUUGUCUCACACCUCAAUCACGAAUCGGGACAGGCC
ensembl:lncRNA